rnacentral:rRNA from 1 species
CCUACGGGAGGCUGCUGUGAGGAAUAUUGGUCAAUGGCCGAGAGGCUGAACCAGCCAAGUCGCGUGAGGGAAGACGGCCCUACGGGUUGUAAACCUCUUUUGUCGGGGAGCAAAGCGAGUCACGUGUGACCCCUUGAGUGUACCCGAAGAAAAAGCAUCGGCUAACUCCGUGCCAGCAGCCGCGGUAAUACGGAGGAUGCGAGCGUUAUCCGGAUUUAUUGGGUUUAAAGGGUGCGCAGGCGGAGGUGCAAGUCAGCGGUCAAAUGGCGGGGCUCAACCCCGGACUGCCGUUGAAACUGCAGGCCUGGAGUGGGCGAGAAGUAUGCGGAAUGCGUGGUGUAGCGGUGAAAUGCAUAGAUAUCGCGCAGAACUCCGAUUGCGAAGGCAGCAUACCGGCGCGCAACUGACGCUCAUGCACGAAAGCGUGGGUAUCGAACAGGAUUAGAUACCCUAGUAGUC